GACGAACGCUGGCGGCGUGCUUAACACAUGCAAGUCGAACGGAAAGGCCCUGCUUUUGUGGGGUGCUCGAGUGGCGAACGGGUGAGUAACACGUGAGUAACCUGCCCUUGACUUUGGGAUAACUUCAGGAAACUGGGGCUAAUACCGGAUAGGAGCUCCUGCUGCAUGGUGGGGGUUGGAAAGUUUCGGCGGUUGGGGUUGGACUCGCGGCUUAUCAGCUUGUUGGUGGGGUAGUGGCUUACCAAGGCUUUGACGGGUAGCCGGCCUGAGAGGGUGACCGGCCACAUUGGGACUGAGAUACGGCCCAGACUCCUACGGGAGGCAGCAGUGGGGAAUAUUGCACAAUGGGCGGAAGCCUGAUGCAGCAACGCCGCGUGCGGGAUGACGGCCUUCGGGUUGUAAACCGCUUUCGCCUGUGACGAAGCGUGAGUGACGGUAAUGGGUAAAGAAGCACCAGCUAACUACGUG
rnacentral:rRNA from 1 species